UUUACAGUGGCGUGGUGGCAUGACAUGAAAUUGAUUCUUAAUUUUGUUUAAAAAAAUUGUUUUUUAAAAGUAUUGAUUUGUGUUUUUUUUACUACAGAAAAAUAGAAAAAAACUAUGUGUGGAGAAAUAUUUUGAACAUUUGGUGUACACUGUAAGAAGGAGAAGAUGGAUCAACUUCAAUUGGUGACUCCUCUCCCUGGAGCUCACGGGAUAGUAAAGUGUCCACUGAAUGCACACUUUAAAAUCUUGCUGAAAGUAGUAGGUCAUCCAGGAAACAGAGGACCGCCUCUUUAACCACAAACCCAUGACAGACAGCAUGGCUAUCUCUACAUGGAAUGCUGGGUAUUGCGAACGGGAGUUGUAUUCUCUUCUAUUUUUGGACUACAGAGUGGGCUCUGGAUUCUGCUAAAGGACACUUAUCUCAGCUUUACCUCUCAAGGUCGACAGCUUCUGAGGCGCCAAUUUGCCGCAGAGGUUUGGUUUGUCUCAGUAACCAAGUAUGAAUGUUAUCCAGAUCUUGUGUUAAAUUAAACAUACCAUUAAUCUUUAAGGUAUAGUCUAUUAUGGAAAGCCAGUAAUGUUACAUUUGUCAUCCAUUCCCAGAGCUCAAUCUUAGUCUUUUCACAAUAAGUAAUGAAUCCAUUCAUAAACUAUUAAAAACAAUCUAGA